UACAGAGGUCCCGAGCGUUGUUCGGAUUCACUGGGCGUAAAGGGCGCGUAGGCGGCACUGUUAGUCAGGCGUGAAAGUCCUGGGCUCAACCUGGGAACUGCGCUUGAUACGGCAGAGCUAGAGGAUGGAAGAGGCUCGCGGAAUUCCCAGUGUAGAGGUGAAAUUCGUAGAUAUUGGGAAGAACACCGGUGGCGAAGGCGGCGAGCUGGUCCAUUACUGACGCUGAGGCGCGACAGCGUGGGGAGCAAACAGG
rnacentral:rRNA from 1 species